rnacentral:rRNA from 1 species
AUUGAACGCUGGCGGCAUGCCUUACACAUGCAAGUCGAACGGCAGCACGGGAGCUUGCUCCUGGUGGCGAGUGGCGAACGGGUGAGUAAUACAUCGGAACGUACCCAGUAGUGGGGGAUAACGCACCGAAAGGUGCGCUAAUACCGCAUACGACCUACGGGUGAAAGCGGGGGACCGUAAGGCCUCGCGCUAUUGGAGCGGCCGAUGUCUGAUUAGCUAGUUGGCGGGGUAAUAGCCCACCAAGGCGACGAUCAGUAGCUGGUCUGAGAGGACGAUCAGCCACACUGGGACUGAGACACGGCCCAGACUCCUACGGGAGGCAGCAGUGGGGAAUUUUGGACAAUGGGGGCAACCCUGAUCCAGCAAUGCCGCGUGUGCGAAGAAGGCCUUCGGGUUGUAAAGCACUUUUGUCAGGGAAGAAAUCUUUCAGGCUAAUACCCUUGGAAGGAUGACGGUACCUGAAGAAUAAGCACCGGCUAACUACGUGCCAGCAGCCGCGGUAA